rnacentral:rRNA from 1 species
UACGUAGGGUGCGAGCGUUGUCCGGAAUUAUUGGGCGUAAAGAGCUCGUAGGCGGUGUGUCACGCCGGUCGUGAAAACCUGCAGCUUAACUGUGGGCGUGCGGUCGAUACGGGCAUCACUGGAGUUCGGCAGGGGAGACUGGAAUUCCUGGUGUAGCGGUGAAAUGCGCAGAUAUCAGGAGGAACACCGGUGGCGAAGGCGGGUCUCUGGGCCGAUACUGACGCUGAGGAGCGAAAGCGUGGGGAGCAAACAGG